rnacentral:rRNA from 1 species
UACGGAGGGGGCUAGCGUUGUUCGGAACUACUGGGCGUAAAGCGCACGUAGGCGGCUUUGUAAGUUAGAGGUGAAAGCCCGGGGCUCAACCCCGGAAUUGCCUUUAAGACUGCAUCGCUUGAAUCCGGGAGAGGUGAGUGGAAUUCCGAGUGUAGAGGUGAAAUUCGUAGAUAUUCGGAAGAACACCAGUGGCGAAGGCGGCUCACUGGACCGGCAUUGACGCUGAGGUGCGAAAGCGUGGGGAGCAAACAGG